rnacentral:lncRNA from 1 species
CAUGAUAGGAUUCAAUGCCAAGCUGAUGGCAAGUGGUAUCCGCAGCUACCCGUUUGUGACCUAGAGACUCAGUGUCCAGUCCCACAUAUUCAACAUGGAAGCCUGAAAUCUCCACUUCCACAUAACUAUACAUACAGAACCAGUGUAACGUUUCAGUGUGAUCCUGGUUACAUCCUCAGGGGCGCUGAUAAGAUUCAAUGCCAAGCUGAUGGCAAGUGGUAUCCACAGCUACCCGUUUGUGGCCCAGGUUCUGUGCUGAACACAGCUGGCAUCUCUACUGAGUCUGAAGUUAAAGAUAUAAUUACCCAGGGCAAACCCACAACUGUCCCUCUCGAAGGAGCAGAAAUAACUGGUACUUCCUCAGAUUUUGUGCUGAACCCAGCUGGCAACUCUGCUGAACCUGAAGGUGAAGGUGAGGUACUGCGGGGAGAGAGAAACACUUGAGCUGUUAGACUGGGUAGCGCAAUGCGUGUGGUGAGCAGGGAAGCCUGGCUGUAGGGAGCUUCACAACUGGAACUGGCCACAUCCUUUCAAUUGUUUUUCAAAUCUAUCACACUAAGGAAUCCCUGAAUGUUGCUGAUCCAUGUGGCUGAAUUAUGUGCAUGAGAUUGGAAUCGCAUUGAAUUUUUGCCAAAAAU